ensembl:lncRNA
CAGGGAGGGCAGGUCAUAAGCAAAUAAACCAAGUAUGUGGUAAUUAAUAGGCUGAUGGAAUGGGGAAUUACCGGUCAGGAAGGCAGAGCUACUUUAGGUGAGACAGAGAAGAUUUCUGUAAGGAGGCGACAUUUAAACAGGUAUCUGAAGAAUGAGAAGGAGCUAACCAUGGCAAGCGCUUGGGAUGGUCUGCCUGCCUGGAAUGCUGAGCCCUGAUUCUGGAUGUUGGAGAGCCCUCAUCUAGUCCAGGGACACAGAUGUCCUUCAUGUCCUCUGGCCCAGCCCUUCGUGCUGAUGGGCUGAGGAUGCCUGAACGCACUCUCUGGAAUGAG